GGGGGCGUCAGGGUUCGACAGGACCGAAGCGACUCAUCGUUGCGAGCCGUGGAUUCUCGUUGGCCACGUAAAAAACGAGUAAAAAAUAACUGCAAACAAUAACUUUGCAUUCGCAGCCUAAGUGCCGCGCAUGAGCCAGUUCUGAGCCAGUAAGAACUGAUCCUCGUGUAGCCAAAUCUGGAUCGCUAGGGCGAGCUUCUGUUCGUAGUAGACCCGGCUAAACCCAAUCGGACUAAGGGUGCGCUAGGCGGUCUCGGCAGAGGCGCAUCACUACAAUCCAAACUGAGAAGACGCUCGUGGUAAUGCUGGGAAGGCGGUUUUGGAAGGGAGUUCAAUUCUCCCCGCCUCCACCA
rnacentral:tmRNA from 1 species